rnacentral:misc_RNA from 1 species
GGCUCAAGUCCACGUGUUUCCACAACAUUUGGUAUAUCUCCAGUUUCCGGUAGAAGCGAUUGCCGAGCAGCUGCCACUCCGCCGCGACGGAGAAGUUCGCCAUUGCAUAGAGAGAUAAAACGGAACUUUACUUGAUGAAUCAAAUGCUCUACCUACGAUUUUGAGAAUUGGGAAAGUUAUUUCUAAAUUGAAACAGUGGAAUAGUAGUUUGUAUUUGGCGCAGUUUGAUACUUUCCACUCUUC